rnacentral:rRNA from 1 species
AACGAACGCUGGCGGCAUGCCUAACACAUGCAAGUCGAACGAGACCUUCGGGUCUAGUGGCGCACGGGUGCGUAACGCGUGGGAACCUGCCUUUAGGUUCGGAAUAACUCAGAGAAAUUUGAGCUAAUACCGGAUAAUGUCUUCGGACCAAAGAUUUAUCGCCUUUAGAUGGGCCCGCGUAAGAUUAGCUAGUUGGUGGGGUAAAGGCCUACCAAGGCGACGAUCUUUAGCUGGUCUGAGAGGAUGAUCAGCCACACUGGGACUGAGACACGGCCCAGACUCCUACGGGAGGCAGCAGUGGGAAUAUUGGACAAUGGGCGAAAGCCUGAUCCAGCAAUGCCGCGUGAGUGAUGAAGGCCUUAGGGUUGUAAACUGCUUUUAUCUGGGGAUAAAAAAGGCCUUGCGAGGCAAACUGAAGGUACCAGAUGAAUAAGCCACGGCUAACUACGUGCCAGCAGCCGCGGUAAU